GACGAACGCUGGCGGCGUGCUUAACACAUGCAAGUCGAACGGAAAGGCCCUGCUUUUGUGGUGUGCUCGAGUGGCGAACGGGUGUGUAACACGGGAGUAACCUGCCCUUGACUUUGGGAUAACUUCAGGAAACUGUGUCUAAUACCGGAUAGGAGCGCCGUCUGCAUGGUGGUGGUUGGAUAGUUUCGGCUGUGGGGUAUGGACUCGCGGAUUAUCAGCUUGGUGGUGGGGUAGUGGCUUACAAGGGCUGUGACGGGUAGCCGGCCUGAGAGGGUGACCGGCCACAUUGCGACUGAACUACGGCGCCGCCUCCUACGGGAGGCAGCAGUGGGGAAUAUUGCACGAUGGGAAGCAGGCUGCUGCAGCAACGCCGGGUGCGUGAUGGCGGCCUUCGGGUUGUAAACCGCUUUCGCCUGUGAAGCAGCGUGAGUGACGGUAAUGGGUAAAGAAGCACCGGCUAACUACGUG
rnacentral:rRNA from 1 species